CAGCAGCCGCGGGAAUACGAAGGGGGCUAGCGUUGUUCGGAUUUACUGGGCGUAAAGCGCACGUAGGCGGACUUUUAAGUCAGGGGUGAAAUCCCGGGGCUCAACCCCGGAACUGCCUUUGAUACUGGAGAUCUUGAGUCCGGGAGAGGUGAGUGGAAUUGCGAGUGUAGCGGUGAAAUGCGUAGAUAUCGGAAGGAACACCUGUGGCGAAAGCGGCUCACUGGACCAUAACUGACGCUGAGGCGCGAAAGCUAGGGGAGCAAGCAGGAUUAGAGACCCCAGUAGUCCCUGUCUCUUAUAC
rnacentral:rRNA from 1 species